GACCGUGUGGCCUAAUGGAUAAGGCGUCUGACUUCGAAUCAGAAGAUUUGCAGGUUCGAGUCCUGUCACGGUCG